UAAAAAAAACUUUCCACCCGCUUCGUACAGUCGAACUACUCCAGUGCUCGCCAUGGCGAGCAUGGGAAGCAGCUCUACGGCGUCCGCCCCCUCUCGGGACCCCGGCGACGUAGAGACGCGCACGAAACCCUGGUCAUCUCCAAGGUAGCAGAGGCCACCGAUACAGUUGCCGACUUGCCGCAGCCGCAGCGACGAGCGCCCGCGAGGUGGUCUGCGACCCUCUGCGUACUCCACGCCCUCAGCGCCCUUCUCUUCCCCUUCGACUCGUCCGCUGUCGCCGCUCGCCGGAUUCAGGAUUCAGGAGUCAGGAACUCAGAAUUUUGACUGACGGAAGGGGUUUGUGGAGAUCAGGAAGUCUGUUUUGGCCUGUGUUUGCGGACUUGCAGCAUUGCAGGAAUAGCAUGCCAAAAUGGAAUCCAUAACAAAUGAGGCCUUGUUUGGAUGUUGUCGGAUUCACCUCAAUCCACAUGUGUUGGAGUGGAUUGGGGUGAAAUUUAGUUCAAGUUCCACUCCAAUCCACACCAACACAUAUGGAUUGAUGCGAAUCCGACUACAUCCAAACAAAGCCUGAAUGGUUUCUGCUGUUUCAUUGGUGUAUCGCUUCUAUAUUUAGAUAAUAAGAAACCAGAUAUGCAACUGAGAUUGGAGAAAUUAUGUUCUGAAAUAACAUUGUACCAGAUUAAAUGUGCUACGAGGUCUUUUGAUAGAUAAGCAUUUGUCAAACAUAAAUCUUCUCUAUUAAUACAUGCCCAGCAAAUUUCUUGCUGAUGGAUUCCAAAAAAAAAAAAAAACUCAUUACAUAAAUAAUUCUGCAAUGGGUUAUGACACAAGCUGUUACUGAAACAUCUUAGAUCAGAACGCAAAAGUAGCCGUACAUAAUUAUCGAAUGUUGAAGCCUAUGUCUUUGGAUAAAACAUUCAUGACAAAUUACUCUGUUCUAAUUUUGGGAGAUAAAUUAGUGAAUCUUUUAAAACACAUGUGCUUCUUUAUUCAAGAAAUUGGACUUCAGAACCAUGGAUAGCUUGGAGAAUUUAUCUUUUCUAUGUUUUCAGAUUAUUGAAGCUGUAAGCCUCAGCAUUAAUGAGAGAGAGAGUAUUGAGGCAUGCAUUUCAUCAUGGUCCAGAAUUUUCUUUUAUGUCUAAGAUGUUGUUUAGCAGUAUGUAUACACCUCAAAUUUCUCAUUGUAUAAUGCAAUUGUAUUACAUUUACAUGUACAGUUAUCCCCACUUGCUUCUAAGUAUCCACACACAACUAAUGGUAGCUUCCACUGCCAACUGCAAUCUCAUAGUGCCAUGCUUUAUUUGUUACCUGUCAUCAGCUACAGCCUCAUGAAAUGCAUGAUUGUUUCGUUUGCAAUGGUGGAAUCAACAGAUAAUUGACUUUUGCCAUUAAUCAAAGGCAAGCUUCUAGUUCUGGAGCUAUUUAGACACUUCUGUUCAGAUAAAAUAUCUUUGAAGUGUGAAUGUUCAUCUGCAAAUUCAUUUUGUAUCAAUUAUGCCAAUUGUUGAAAUCAACAGAUCUCUGUAACUACAAGUGUUUACUGGGGUCCUUCUGAUCUGAGAGUUUUUGUCCAUUGUGCAAGAGUGUCCUGUACUCACAAUCGUGUCAUGAACUCUUGCUGUCUGUUGUCCUUAUCUGGUUCUUCAAUUAGAUAAUCUACAUAUCACUUCUGCUUAAAUUGAAAAGCCAUCCAUAUGUGGUUUCACUAUUGAAUGAGAAGAAAGCCUAAAGUUUGUUUUACACUGGUUUGUGGUCCUCAUUGAUUCUUUGCAGUAAUUUUGUUGUUAUGCUUCCAAAAACAUCUAGAAUUUUCAGCACAUUUUAAUCAGUUUGUGACUUUUUCAUUCUUGAGCAUUUUACACUCUAUAAUCCAUUCUUCCACUUUGGUUGCAUGAUGUUGCCUUGCACUGUUCAUGGGAGAUUUGUGCCUUUGCAAGGAGAGGAAUUUAUGAUUUAGUUUUUGUUGAAGUAACUUGAACUUGAAAUGAUUCAAGCUCUUGUUCUUUUCUGAGAAAAAAAAUUCAAACUCUUGUUCCAGAUUUAUCUUGAAAAGAAGAUUCUAAGAUAACUUACCGGACUUUUUGCUGGAAUAGUGAAAGCUGUUAUUCGUAACAAUUCCGUUACAGGUUCUUAUCAGAACUACAAUCUGUUCCUAUUUUAUAAGGCAUUACACCAAAAAACAUGCUCCAUGGUUCAUCUUCGAGGGCUUGAGAGCUUGACAAUUGUCAUGCCUUUUUCUCAUUUAAUCUUUGGAUGAUGCAUGCACUGUUGUUCAGCCUAUUAUUUGUUCACUGCAUGCAAAUGGAAGAGCAAAAGCAACUGCGGCACAUUUUCAUCUUAUAUUUAACUAGUGAUUUCUGCUACUUAAUUUGAAACUUUUACUUCCAUGCGGGAUAUUCCUUUUUCUCUUGUUUGACAACUAUAUUUUGAAUUUAUAUUUGAUACUUAAAAAAAAUACCCAUUUUAGACAGCUUAUUCUAUGGCAGCUUACUUAUAAGGCAGUUUUCCAAAUCAUUGCAUAGUUUACUAGUUAUGAAGCAUGGUGAUGGCAUUCUCAUCUAAAUAGAGAAGCACUCAUUUCAAGGCUUGGACCUUGGACAACUACUUGCAUCCAUUCCAGGUAAGGCUGAGUCUUGGUUCAAUAUGGUUGAAGCAAUGAGAGAUCCGCAAGUUAUCUAAUUAAGGUUGAAGAAUAGUAGUUGCACCAACUUACAUCACAAUAUACAUGCCAUAGCAGUUUAUUGGAUUCUGUGGACCCUCUUUAAGAGGAACUUCAUGCGAGCAGUCUAUCAUGUAUUGGACUAAAGAGAGCAGUCUAUCAUCUAUCAGAGGAUAAAACAGAUAUGCCAUUUAGAUCUUGCACCUGCACUAAUAAUACUUGAUACUCCAGAUAUUGUAAGUUCCCAACUCAUGUAUCAUUGCCUUUCAAAGAAAAUAUUGCAAAAUCCUAAUAUUUCUUUAUUUUCUGUCCCCAAUAUUGGAAGUGCUAAUUCUACCAAAAAGCCUGGGGGAGCAUCACCUCAUGAACUUAGCUACAAACUCAGGUCAUUCUGAACACUAGUAAUGUAGGCUUGGGCUGAUGUAGCAAAGGAGGGAGGGAGGGAGCUCAUUUGAAUCACUAUGUGUUCUGAACAAAUUGAUAUAUUCAUCUGUGUCACUGUGUGUUUUGCAUGUUGACUUCUUUGGACUCAUUUGUGGCAUCAUCUCUAAACUUAGACCAGGACAUCUCUACUGGGUUGGAGCAGAAACACACAUGGUCUCUUCAAGUUGCUAAAACUGAUCCUGCUACUGAAUGCUCAUCAUUUCAGUAAUCAGUACUGCAUAGAGAACAAACUACUAUAAAGAUGUUAUAGACCAUUCAUCUGCCAUUCUGCUCCUUGAGAUAUAGAGCAAUUGUGGAUAGCAGUGGCCCUUUUCUUCCCAAAGAGGGCAUGGGAGUGCUCUUCAACAAGCGAAUAAGCUUUCUCUCCGUUCCAAAUUAUGGCCUUGGCCUGCCUACGGCUAGAAUCUGCACUUCAGGUGCAUUGCACACGCUGGAAUCUGCAUAUGACUCCAAGGCCCGCGCACCUUUCAAGGGUGACAAGAUUAUAAUUCCAUUCGGAAACAUGGUGAUGAACUGUAUGGGUAAUGGAGAGAAUUUUCCUGCUCUGUUACUAAUUGUUACAUGUCCGUAGCAAAUUCUUGUAGGAUAGGCCACCAGUGUUUUUCCCCCCUUGUACGUAUAUGUCUAUUUACAUUUUUUUUUUUCCAAUUCUCCGUAAGGCCUACUUUGGCAGCCAUAGGGUAAUUAGCCCUGGGAAGUCAUCGGAGGGGAGGGAUUUUUUGGGACAGAACAAACCCCGUCCAAUGCAG